rnacentral:rRNA from 1 species
ACACGCAUGACACACUGCAUAUCAAUAAGCGGAGGAAAAGAAACUAACAAGGAUUCCCUUAGUAACGGCGAGUGAAGCGGGAAGAGCUCAAAUUUGAAAUCUUCAAGGUUUUACCUUGACGAAUUGUAGUUUAAAGAAGUGUUUUCUGUUGGAGUUUUGGUAAGAGUUCUUUGGAAUAGGACAUCAUAGAGGGUGAGAAUCCCGUAUUUGACCAUUAUUUCCAGCUGUGUGAUACACUUUCAAAGAGUCGGAUUGUUUGGGAAUGCAGUCCAAAAUGGGUGGUAAAUUUCAUCUAAAGCUAAAUAUUGGCGAGAGACCGAUAGCGAACAAGUACCGUGAGGGAAAGAUGAAAAGAACUUUGAAAAGAGAGUUAAACAGUACGUGAAAUUGUCAAAAGGGAAGCGUUUGACACCAGUGUUGUUUUCUCGAAAAUCAAUUAAAAAUGAUGGGAUUUUGUGUUGUAUUGACUUUAUCAGCUUUCUGCACUUUUUUCUUAUCUUUUUUAAUGCACUUUUCGUUUAACAAGUCAACAUCAAUUUCUUUUGUUGUAAAAGAGUCAUUGGAAGGUGGCUUUUUCUUCGGAAAAAGUGUUUAUAGCCUUUGGCUUCUGCAAUCGGAGAGAUUGAGGUCUGCAGCGUAGAUCCUUCGGGGUUAGAUACAUUUGUGCUAAGCUAUAGUUCUUUAUAGACAACUUGUUGACUAUAAUCAAUCCUGUAACUUACUCGCUUAUGCUAUUUUACCUACGCUUAGGAUGUUGACUGAUAUGUAGUCGUA